GACGAACGCUGGCGGCGUGCCUAACACAUGUAAGUCGAGCGGGGUUAACCGCAAGGUUAACCUAGCGGCGGACGGGUGAGUAACGCGUGGAUAACCUGCCUCAAGGGUCGGGAUAACAGCUCGAAAGGGCUGCUAAUACCGGAUGUGAUGCACUUUUCGCAUGGAGGGUGCAUGAAAGGGGAAACCCGCCUUGAGAUGGAUCCGCGUCCCAUCAGCUAGUUGGUAGGGUAAAGGCCUACCAAGGCGACGACGGGUAGCCGGCCUGAGAGGGUGACCGGCCACACUGGGACUGAGAUACGGCCCAGACUCCUACGGGGGGCAGCAGUGGGGAAUAUUGCACAAUGGGCGAAAGCCUGAUGCAGCGACGCCGCGUGAGCGAAGAAGGCCUUCGGUUGUAAAGCUCUGUCUGGAGGGACGAAAGAAAUAGACGGUACCUCCGGAGGAAGCCACGGCUAACUACGUG
rnacentral:rRNA from 1 species